rnacentral:rRNA from 1 species
UACGUAGGUGGCAAGCGUUGUCCGGAAUCAUUGGGCGUAAAGAGCGCGCAGGCGGCUUGGCAAGUCGGGUGUGAAAUCCCGGGGCUCAACCCCGUGACUGCAUCCGAUACUGUCAGGCUAGAGGUAGGUAGGGGAGAUCGGAAUUCCUGGUGUAGCGGUGAAAUGCGCAGAUAUCAGGAGGAACACCGGUGGCGAAGGCGGAUCUCUGGGCCUUACCUGACGCUCAGGCGCGAAAGCUAGGGGAGCGAACAGG